rnacentral:lncRNA from 1 species
UAAUUUUGAUUGACCGUAUCUUCUUUUUUUUUGGUUUGUGGAUUUAUGUUAUCUUUCUUUAUUUUUUUAUUAACUUGUUCUUCUUCUCAUAUAAUUUUUCCAAUCCGCCAUUGCUUUUUUCGCUGAAAGAUGGACGAAGGUAUGUAAUUUUUUUUUUUUCUUUAUUUUGUUUAGAUGAAAUCGUGUGUGUUUAGAAAUUUAAUUGUGUUUAUUUAAUAUGUUAUUAUUUUUCAUGUGUUUUAUUUUUAUUUUUGUUAUUUACAGUUUAUCGAUUUUUUUUAAGUUUGCACAAUGCAUUGAAAGUUCUUAUUGUUUUUAUUUCAGUUGAAGUUAUAGUUGAAUUAUGCUAUGUAAUUUUCGUCUUUUUGUUUAAUGUAUAUAUAUAUUUUUUGUUAUAUUCAGUUUAUGUAUUUUUUGCGCAAUGCAUUGAAAGUUCC